rnacentral:rRNA from 1 species
UACGAAGGGGGCUAGCGUUGCUCGGAAUUACUGGGCGUAAAGGGAGCGUAGGCGGAUAGUUAAGUCAGAGGUGAAAGCCCAGGGCUCAACCUUGGAAUUGCCUUUGAUACUGGCUAUCUUGAGUAUGGGAGAGGUAAGCGGAACUCCGAGUGUAGAGGUGAAAUUCGUAGAUAUUCGGAAGAACACCAGUGGCGAAGGCGGCUUACUGGCCCAUUACUGACGCUGAGGCUCGAAAGCGUGGGAGCAAACAGG